rnacentral:rRNA from 1 species
UACGUAGGGUGCGAGCGUUAAUCGGAAUUACUGGGCGUAAAGCGUGCGCAGGCGGUUUUGUAAGCCAGAUGUGAAAUCCCCGGGCUUAACCUGGGAAUGGCAUUUGGGACUGCAAGGCUGGAGUGUGGCAGAGGAGACGUGGAAUUCCUGGUGUAGCAGUGAAAUGCGUAGAUAUCAGGAGGAAUACCGAUGGCGAAGGCAGGUCUCUGGGCUGAACACUGACGCUCAUGCACGAAAGCGUGGGGAGC